rnacentral:rRNA from 1 species
UUGUGCAUGGGCGAAGCUGACGCAUCACGCCGCGCGCGGGAUGAAGGCCUUCGGGUUGUAAACCGCUUUCAGCAGGGAAGAAAUUGACGGUACCUGCAGAAGAAGCCCCGGCCAACUACGUGCCAGCAGCCGCGGUAACACGUAGGGGGCGAGCGUUGUCCGGAUUUAUUGGGCGUAAAGAGCUCGUAGGCGGUUCGGUAAGUCGGGUGUGAAACCUCCAGGCUCAACCUGGAGACGCCACCUGAUACUGCUGUGACUGGAGUCCGGUAGGGGAGUGUGGAACUCCUGGUGUAGCGGUGAAAUGCGCAGAUAUCAGGAAGAACACCAGCGGCGAAGGCGGCACUCUGGGCCGGUACUGACGCUGAGGAGCGAAAGCGUGGGUAGCAAACAGGAUUAGAUACCCUGGUAGUCCACGCCGUAAACGUUGGGCACUAGGUGUGGGUCUCAACCAACGAGAUCCGUGCCGCAGCUAACGCAUUAAGUGCCCCGCCUGGGGAGUACGGCCGCGAGGCUAAAACUCAAAGGAAUUGACGGGGGCCCGCACAAGCGGCGGAGCAUGUUGCUUAAUUCGAGGCAACGCGAAGAACCUUACCUGNGUUUGACAUGUAGAGAAAAGCCGCAGAGA